UACGAAGGUGGCAAGCGUUGUUCGGAUUUACUGGGCGUACAGGGAGCGUAGGCGGUUGGAUAAGCCCUCCGUGAAAUCUCCAGGCUUAACCUGGAAAGUGCAGAGGGGACUGUUCAGCUAGAGGAUGGGAGAGGAGCGCGGAAUUCCCGGUGUAGCGGUGAAAUGCGUAGAUAUCUGGAGGAAUACCGGUGGCGAAGGCGGCAUCCUGGACCGACAUUGACGCUGAGGCGCGAAAGCCAGGGGAGCAAACGGG
rnacentral:rRNA from 1 species